UACGUAGGGUGCGAGCGUUGUCCGGAAUUACUGGGCGUAAAGAGCUCGUAGGUGGUUUGUCGCGUUGUUCGUGAAAACUCACAACUCAAUUGUGGGCGUGCGGGCGAUACGGGCAGACUGGAGUACUGCAGGGGAGAGUGGAAUUCCUGGUGUAGCGGUGAAAUGCGCAGAUAUCAGGAAGAACACCGAUGGCGAAGGCAGCUCUCUGGGACGGUACUGACGCUGAGACGCGAAAGCGUGGGGAGCGAACAGG
rnacentral:rRNA from 1 species